AUUGAACGCUGGCGGCAGGCCUAACACAUGCAAGUCGGGCGGAUGACGGGAGCUUGCUCCUUGAUUCAGUGGCGGACGGGUGAGUAAUGCCUAGGAAUCUGCCUGGUAGUGGGGGACAACGUUUCGAAAGGAACGCUAAUACCGCAUACGUCCUACGGGAGAAAGCAGGGGACCUUCGGGCCUUGCGCUAUCAGAUGAGCCUAGGUCGGAUUAGCUAGUAGGUGAGGUAAUGGCUCACCUAGGCGACGAUCCGUAACUGGUCUGAGAGGAUGAUCAGUCACACUGGAACUGAGACACGGUCCAGACUCCUACGGGAGGCAGCAGUGGGGAAUAUUGGACAAUGGGCGAAAGCCUGAUCCAGCCAUGCCGCGUGUGUGAAGAAGGUCUUCGGAUUGUAAAGCACUUUAAGUUGGGAGGAAGGGCAGUAAGUUAAUACCUUGCUGUUUUGACGUUACCGACAGAAUAAGCACCGGCUAACUCUGUGCCAGCCGCCGCAGUAA
rnacentral:rRNA from 1 species